UACGUAGGUGGCAAGCGAUACUCGGAAUCACUAGGCGUAAAGCGCAGGUAGGAGGUUUGGAAAGUCUCUUGUGAAAGCUCCCGGCUCAACUGGGAGAGGUCAAGGGAAACUACCAGGCUAGAGUGCGGUAGAGGUAGCUGGAAUUCCGUGUGUAGCGGUGAAAUGCGUAGAUAUACGGAGGAACACCAGCGGCGAAGGCGGGUAGCUGGGCCGAUACUGACGCUGAGGAGCGAAAGCGUGGGGAGCGAACAGG
rnacentral:rRNA from 1 species